CUUGCUUGAGAAUGCUCUAGGUACCUGGCUAACGAAGGAAGAAUGGAAAUUUCAAUAACAAAAUCCUAAUUCUAAUAGAAUACUAACAAUGCUCUAAUUAGACCAUAAUAAUGGUAAGCAAGCUUAAUCAAAUUCAAAAAAAAUUCAACGAAAUUUCAAAUAAAGAAUAAGAAUUCUUAAAGAAAUAUUAGAAGGAUCACAAAUAUCAUUCAAAUACAUCUCAAUUCAAUCUUAAUUUAAUUCUAGUUAAAAUCCUAUUGAACUUCAUUCAAACUUUAGGCCAAAAAUAAUUGAAUCUUAAAUCCUAAUUAAAUCUUAAACCCUAAAUCAAACCCUAAACAAACCUUAAACCAAACUCCAACCAAAUCCUAAA
rnacentral:lncRNA from 1 species